rnacentral:rRNA from 1 species
GAUUAGUGGCGAACGGGUGAGUAACACGUGAGUAACCUGCCCCUUACUUUCCUGGAUAACUGCUCGAAAGGGUAGCUAAUACGGGAUAUUCUGACCGGCCUGCAUGGGUUGGUUUGGAAAGGUUUAUUUUCUGGUAAGGGAUGGGCUCGCGGCCUAUCAGCUUGUUGGUGGGGUGAUGGCCUACCAAGGCUUUGACGGGUAGCCGGCCUGAGAGGGUGGACGGUCACACUGGGACUGAGAUACGGCCCAGACUCCUACGGGAGGCAGCAGUGGGGAAUAUUGCACAAUGGGCGCAAGCCUGAUGCAGCGACGCCGCGUGAGGGAUGAAGGCCUUCGGGUUGUAAACCUCUUUCGUCAGGGAACAAGGCACUGCUUUUUUGGUGGUGUUGAGGGUACCUGGAUAAGAAGCGCCGGCUAACUACGUGCCAGCAGCCGCGGUAAUACGUAGGGCGCAAGCGUUGUCCGGAAUUAUUGGGCGUAAAGAGCUCGUAGGCGGCUGGUCGCGUCUGUCGUGAAAACUUCCGGCUCAACCGGGGGCUUGCGGUGGGUACGGGCCGGCUAGAGUGCGGUAGGGGUAACUGGAACUCCUGGUGUAGCGGUGGAAUGCGCAGAUAUCAGGAAGAACACCGAUGGCGAAGGCA